GAAGAAAUCUAAACAAAACCUUUCGUUAACCCACAAUUAGAGCAUCAUCAUUUGCUUUCGAACUAUAUGAGAUUUAUCCUGAUAUAACUAUCAGUCAAGAUAUUAAUUCCCAAAGACUAACCUCAUGCAGUUUGUUCCCUGAAGCUUAGUUCCAAUUAUACAUAACUAGAAUCAGAAGAGAAAGAAACAAGUAGCUGGGUAAUCUCUUUCUCAAUAUUCCAAGAUGCUUAGUUCCAUUAGGAGAGUCUCAUCUCAAUCCUAUUAAUUCAUCUUCCUGGUCAAUCAUUAUCUGCCUUGCAGAGUUCGCAGGAAAAACAACUGAACAAAUCCUUCAUAACCUUUUCUAUCACAGAAGACUACAACUUCCUCAGAUGCUACUCAAUCUAUAUCAUGCACCAAUACUAAAAGCUGAUCAAAAGUGUAAGGUACCGGACUUCUAAAAUUAUGAAGUUACGGUGUACAUUUGGUUUGAAAGCCAUUUGAAUGAUUCCGGUGAGGUUGCGGUGGAAUGUAAUAUACCGGAUUUUAAAUAUAAAAAUAGAAAUAAAUAAAAAUAGUAUGAGAUACUAUUUUUAUUGGAUUUAGAGGAGUAAAACAUAAGUCAGAAGUGACUUGUGCUGAAAUCGGAAUGAAAACAGAAGAUAUAGAAUUUUCUGUUGGAGACGGGACAGAAAAAUAAGCAGAAAAUGCACAGUCUCAGAAAAUUAUGAAAAUUGGCGGNCGGAGGAGUGAGAUGGCAGUAGCACUGUAGCAUUGCUAAGUGUGAAGCAGGCCAUGGGUCAUUCGUGGGGCUGGUGGCUCGCAGUAGGUGCUUAGGAGCCGAUAGUAGUAUAUGUGGCUCGGUAGAACAUGUCGUGUCGGACGACGACGGCAGGUAGUGCUUGGGGACAACCCAUGCCUGGACCAUUUGUGGACUGUGAAGCCUAGGCCCAUUGGGUAGGCACAGUCGGCUGCGAGUGGCAGCGGCCCGGUACCUACGGGUAGGGCAGAGUUUUGGUCAGGGUGGUAGUCCGAGCAUAGACCCGGGAGCGUGGAAUGCCACGUGUGGAUUACGAGAUCGAUGACACACCGAGUGUGCAGUAACCCAACCCGAGAACCUGAUGUGGUUUGGGGUCAUAGUUGCUCCUAGUCGGAGUGUGUGCGAAUUCCCAAGUGAGAAUUUCGCCCAGUAGUGUUGAUUGGGUCUACGCUUGCGAGCGAGAGACGCUACGUGUUGAGACGGUUUAGGCUAUAGGCCUAUGUAGAAUUGGUGACUGUUGGUCCACCUGUGGAAACCGAGGUAAUCGGUUUGGCCCGUAACUCUGUCGAGGAGUUUGGCUUGGAUUCACGAAUGGAGUGUUCGUGUGAGUUCGUUGCGAGAACGACUUGGUGUUGGCCGUGGCGAUUAAAAGAGAAAGUAAAGUGGUCUCUUGGAGACACUUGGAUAUUGGAUUGCCACGCGAGAUCUGAGAAUAUGCUCUCUAGAGGAUUAACAUUGGAGAUGUGCCGAAGGGUGCCAUCUCGUAGUAAAGCAAAUUCGAUUGUGAUAAUGGCACUUGCGAUGGGUCGAUGCACCAAUGAUAUUGCUUCUAGGCAAUUCCAGUGAUCGAAUCGAAGUAUAUUCCCUAGAUUCGGUCGCAAAUAGUGUUGGAGUGUGUAAAGUUGUCGAGUGUCGACUUACGCUGCCACCAAGACUUGCGGAACCGUAAUGCACUUUUGGUGUUGUGCUUAGCAAAUGUGAGUGAAUUUAGUCUCAUAUCCUCUGUAGUGGGCCUUUGGAUAGUUCCGAUGAGAAAAAGGCCACUCCGGAGUGCAAAAGUGCAUUGUUACCUUCAGAUGCUCGAAAACUUGAAUUGAGAUGAGAUUUGAGUUUCGAGGACGAAACUCCUUUUAAGGAGGGGAGGAUGUAAGGUACCGGAUUUUAAAUGUAAAAGUGAAAAUAAAUAAAAAUAGUGUGGGAUACUAUUUUUAUUGGACUUAUAGACAUAAAUUAUAAGUCUAGAGUGACCCGUGUUGAAAUGGAAGCGAAAACAGAAGAUUUAGAAUUUUCUGUGAGAGACAGGGCAGACGAUAUAUAUCUGUACCGUGCUGCUAAACCGAAUGUGAAUAGUGUUCUUGGAUAACUUGGAGGCCAAGUUUCCUAGAUAACUUGGAGGCCAAGUUUCCUAUGAAACUUGGAGGCUAAGUUUCCUAUGACACUUGGAGACCAAGUUUCCUAUGAAACUUGGAGGCCAAGUUUCCUAUAUAUAUAUAUAGGGGACUUGAGCCUUUUCUUUCUUUCUCCCUCACACUUGCAACCAAAGAGAAAUAUCUCUCUCUCUAACAAUUUCUCCACCAAAGAGAGGAAUUGGAGGUGCAUUUGGAGAAGAAAAAGGUUGCUUGGAGGUGAAGUCUUCAUCCUCUUCAUUACUGGGUUUGAGGAAAAGCUUGCGUUUGAGGUGCCUAAACACGUGUGAAGCGUCGGUUCGUCGAUUCGUCGAGCAGGUGCGACCGAAGAGUAAAGCGGCGACUAGGGAAGUGCAAUUGAGAACCUAGCCUCGUGAUAGCGGUAAAAGGUGGGGGGUGUCAUACCGAAACAUCCGGGCUUCCUUUUAUGUCUAAGUUUUAUUUUGAUCAUAUUCAUAUAUUGAUAUUGUGCAUUAUAGGAUUAGUAGAUGAUUACAUUCCAUUUCCUUACAUGUUUCCUAUGGUAGUGUAGCAUUAUGGGCUUGACACUUGAACUUAGGUUGCAUGAGGAUUGGGUCAUGUGA
rnacentral:lncRNA from 1 species